GGAGAUGUGGCUCAAGCGGUAGCGCGCUUGCCUGGCACGCAUGCGGCCGGGGUUCGACCCUCAGCACCA
rfam:Ictidomys tridecemlineatus contig103329, whole genome shotgun sequence.